UGAUUCCAUGGCAUGUCACGUGCCCGACAUCUGUACCGCCGUUGACUGCUGCAUCUACAUCGACUUCCUGUCACGUGCCUUCAACGUCUUCCUGACAGUGGACAUGUGCACCUAUCAGCUGACGGUGGGCGUUGAAAAUCUGGUCUACAAACGGAUGUUGCUGGACUAUCAGUGGGGCACAGAAGAACA